rnacentral:rRNA from 1 species
UGGGAACGUACCCUUCGGUUCGGAAUAACCCGGGGAAACUCGGGCUAAUACCGGAUACGUCCGCAAGGAGAAAGAUUUAUCGCCGAAGGAUCGGCCCGCGUCGGAUUAGCUAGUUGGUGGGGUAACGGCCCACCAAGGCGACGAUCCGUAGCUGGUCUGAGAGGAUGAUCAGCCACACUGGGGCUGAGACACGGCCCAGACUCCUACGGGAGGCAG